rnacentral:rRNA from 1 species
GGGGAAUUUUCCGCAAUGGGCGAAAGCCUGACGGAGCAAUGCCGCGUGGAGGAGGAAGGCCUGAGGGUUGUAAACUCCUUUUCUCAGAAAAGAAGAUCUGACGGUAUCUGAGGAAUAAGCAUCGGCUAACUCCGUGCCAGCAGCCGCGGUAAGACGGAGGAUGCAAGCGUUAUUCGGAAUGAUUGGGCGUAAAGCGUCUGUAGGUGGUUUAUUAAGUCUGCUGUUAAAGCACAGGGCUCAACCCUGUAUAGGCGGUAGAAACUGGUAGGCUUGAGUAUGGUAGGGGUAGAGGGAAUUCCCGAUGUAGUGGUGAAAUGCGUUGAUAUCGGGAAGAACACCGAAGGCUAAAGCACUCUGCUGGGCCAAUACUGACACUAAGAGACGAAAGCUAGGGGAGCAAAUGGGAUUAGAUACCCCAGUAGUC